AUUGAACGCUGGCGGCAUGCUUUACACAUGCAAGUCGAACGGUAACAGGCCGCAAGGUGCUGACGAGUGGCGAACGGGUGAGUAAUGCAUCGGAACGUGCCCAGUCGUGGGGGAUAACUACUCGAAAGAGUAGCUAAUACCGCAUACGAUCUAUGGAUGAAAGCGGGGGACCGUAAGGCCUCGCGCGAUUGGAGCGGCCGAUGUCAGAUUAGGUAGUUGGUGGGGUAAAGGCUCACCAAGCCAACGAUCUGUAGCUGGUCUGAGAGGACGACCAGACACACUGGGGCUGAGACACGGCCCAGACUCCGAGGGGAGGCAGCGGUGGGGAAUUUUGGACAAUGGGCGCAAGCCUGAUCAAGCAAUGCCGCGUGCAGGAAGAAGGCCUUCGGGUGGUAAACUGCUUUUGUAGGGAACGAAACGGUUCUGGUUAAUACCCGGGGCUAAGGCCGUAACGGUAAGAAAAGCACCGGCUAACUACGUG
rnacentral:rRNA from 1 species